UUGUUUCUUUUUAAACAUCGACAUGCAAAAUACAUUCGAGCAUAAAUGCGACGAUCCCAAUCCAAGGAAAGGGGCUCGCCGAAGCAAGUUGUACGGAACCACAAAGGUUUGAGGGUUGAAGGCCAGAAGGCCAUUCGUUAAUGAUCCCUCCGCAGGUUCACCUACGGAGA
rnacentral:misc_RNA from 1 species